rnacentral:snRNA from 1 species
GGGUGCAAGGCGGGGGAGGACUGCUGCCCCCGAAGCUUGUGGGACAAGGGCCUCCUAUUGCGGGCCCACUCCGGCGAAGGCUCCGGCAUGCCGAAAGCGCCCAAG